UAUGGCUCUUGAAGCUCUAAAUUCACCCACCACGGCCACUCCUAUAAACUAUGAGGAUACCUGGACCAAAAGGAAACGAUCCAAGAGGCCUCGUAGUGAAUCCCCUCCUACCGAGGAUGAGUAUCUCGCUCUCUGUCUCAUCAUGCUUGCUCGUGGUGGCGGCAAAGAAGCUUCAUCUUCAUCUCCACCGCCACCAAAACCGCCAGCUUUGACUCUGUCUUACAAGUGCACGGUUUGUGACAAAGUUUUCCCUUCUUAUCAAGCUCUUGGUGGACACAAGGCUAGCCAUAAAAAA
rnacentral:misc_RNA from 1 species